UACGAGGGGGGCGAGCGUUGUUCGGAAUUAUUGGGCGUAAAGGGUGCGUAGGCGGUUUGGUAAGUCUUAUGUGAAAUCUACAGGCUCAACUUGUAGUCUGCAUGAGAAACUGCCGGGCUUGAGUGUGGGAGAGGUGAGUGGAAUUCCUGGUGUAGCGGUGAAAUGCGUAGAUAUCAGGAGGAACACCGGUGGCGAAGGCGGGUCUCUGGGCCGAUAUUGACGCUGAGGAGCGAAAGCGUGGGGAGCGAACAGG
rnacentral:rRNA from 1 species